rnacentral:rRNA from 1 species
UACGGAGGGGGCUAGCGUUGUUCGGAAUUACUGGGCGUAAAGCGCGCGUAGGCGGCUUUGUAAGUUAGAGGUGAAAGCCCGGAGCUCAACUCCGGAAUUGCCUUUAAGACUGCAUCGCUAGAAUCAUGGAGAGGUGAGUGGAAUUCCGAGUGUAGAGGUGAAAUUCGUAGAUAUUCGGAAGAACACCAGUGGCGAAGGCGGCUCACUGGACCGUUGUUGACGCUGAGGUGCGAAAGCGUGGGGAGCAAACAGG